UGAUGUUCCACGACCUCUUC
rnacentral:siRNA from 1 species